UCACUACGGAAUAGCUCCGGGAAACUGGAAUUAAUACCGUAUACGCCCUCCGGGGGAAAGAUUUAUCGGUGAAAGAUCGGUCCGCGUUAGAUUAGAUAGUUGGUGGGGUAAUGGCCUACCAAGUCUACGAUCUAUAGCUGGUCUGAGAGGAUGAUCAGCCACACUGGGACUGAGACACGGCCCAGACUCCUACGGGAGGCAGCAGUGGGGAAUCUUGCACAAUGGGCGAAAGCCUGAUGCAGCCAUGCCGCGUGAAUGAUGAAGGCCUUAGGGUUGUAAAAUUCUUUCGCUAGGGACGAUAAUGACGGUACCUAGUAAAGAAGCCCCGGCUAACUUCGUGCCAGCAGCCGCGGUAAUACGAAGGGGGCUAGCGUUGUUCGGAAUUACUGGGCGUAAAGCGCGCGUAGGCGGACUAACAAGUUGGAUGUGAAAUCCCAGGGCUCAACUCUGGAACUGCAUUCAAAACUGUUAGUCUAGAGGCCAGGAGAGGUCAGUGGAAUACCGAGUGUAGAGGUGAAAUUCGUAGAUAUUCGGUGGAACACCAGUGGCG
rnacentral:rRNA from 1 species